rnacentral:rRNA from 1 species
ACCCGCUGAACUUAAGCAUAUCANUAAGCGGAGGAAAAGAANCCAACAGGGAUUACCUCAGUAACGGCGAGUGAAGCGGUAACAGCUCAAAUUUGAAAUCUGGCUCCUUUGGGGCCCGAGUUGUAAUUUGUAGAAGAUGCUUUGGGCGUGGCUCCGGUCUAAGUUCCUUGGAACAGGACGUCAUAGAGGGUGAGAAUCCCGUACGUGACUGGGUGCCUUUGUCCGUGUAAAGCUCUUUCGACGAGUCGAGUUGUUUGGGAAUGCAGCUCAAAAUGGGUGGUAAAUUUCAUCUAAAGCUAAAUAUUGGCCAGAGACCGAUAGCGCACAAGUAGAGUGAUCGAAAGAUGAAAAGCACUUUGGAAAGAGAGUUAAACAGUACGUGAAAUUGUUGAAAGGGAAGCGCUUGCAAUCAGACUUGCGUGUAGUUGAUCAUCCGAGCUUCUGCCCGGUGCACUCGAUCAUACUCAGGCCAGCAUCGGUUUGGGCGGUUGGAUAAAGGCCUUGGGAAUGUGGCUCCUCUCGGGGAGUGUUAUAGCCCUCGGUGCAAUGCAGCCUGUCCGGACCGAGGACCGCGCUUCGGCUAGGAUGCUGGCGUAAUGGUUGUAAGCGACC